rnacentral:rRNA from 1 species
UGGGGAAUAUUGCACAAUGGGCGCAAGCCUGAUGCAGCGACGCCGCGUGGGGGAUGACGGCCUUCGGGUUGUAAACCUCUUUCAGCAGGGACGAAGCGAAAGUGACGGUACCUGCAGAAGAAGCACCGGCCAACUACGUGCCAGCAGCCGCGGUAAUACGUAGGGUGCGAGCGUUGUCCGGAAUUACUGGGCGUAAAGAGCUCGUAGGUGGUUUGUCGCGUUGUUCGUGAAAACCGGGGGCUUAACCCUCGGCGUGCGGGCGAUACGGGCAGACUAGAGUACUGCAGGGGAGACUGGAAUUCCUGGUGUAGCGGUGGAAUGCGCAGAUAUCAGGAGGAACACCGGUGGCGAAGGCGGGUCUCUGGGCAGUAACUGACGCUGAGGAGCGAAAGCGUGGGGAGCGAACAGGAUUAGAUACCCUGGUAGUCCACGCCGUAAACGGUGGGUACUAGGUGUGGGUUUCCUUCCUUGGGAUCCGUGCCGUAGCUAACGCAUUAAGUACCCCGCCUGGGGAGUACGGCCGCAAGGCUAAAACUCAAAGGAAUUGACGGGGUCAUAGCUG